AGUGAACGCUGGCGGUAGGCCUAACACAUGCAAGUCGAACGGCAGCACAGUAAGAGCUUGCUCUUACGGGUGGCGAGUGGCGGACGGGUGAGGAAUACAUCGGAAUCUACUUUUUCGUGGGGGAUAACGUAGGGAAACUUACGAUAAUACCGCAUACGACCUACGGGUGAAAGCAGGGGAUCUUCGGACCUUGCGCGAAUGAAUGAGCCGAUGUCGGAUUAGUUAGUUGGCGGGGUAAAGGCCCACCAAGGCGACGAUCCGUAGCUGGUCUGAGAGGAUGAUCAGCCACACUAGAACUGGGACACGGUCCAGACGCCUACGAGAGGCAGCAGUGGGGAAUAUUGGACAAUGGGGGCAAGCCUGAUCCAGCCAUACCGCGUGGGUGAAGAAGGCCUUCGGGUUGUAAAGCCCUUUUGUUGGGAAAGAAAAGCAGCAGGUUAAUACCCCGCUGUUCUGACGGUACCCAAAGAAUAAGCACCGGCUAACUUCGUG
rnacentral:rRNA from 1 species